rnacentral:rRNA from 2 species
UGGGGAAUAUUGGACAAUGGGCGCAAGCCUGAUCCAGCAAUGCCGCGUGUGUGAAGAAGGCCUUCGGGUUGUAAAGCACUUUUAUCAGGAACGAAAAGCGUUGGAUUAAUACUCUGACGUGCUGACGGUACCUGAGGAAUAAGCACCGGCUAACUUCGUGCCAGCAGCCGCGGUAAUACGAAGGGUGCAAGCGUUAAUCGGAAUUACUGGGCGUAAAGCGUGCGUAGAUGGUUCGCUAAGUCGGAUGUGAAAGCCCCGGGCUCAACCUGGGAACUGCAUCCGAUACUGGCGGACUAGAGUGUGAUAGAGGAUGGCGGAAUUCCCGGUGUAGCGGUGAAAUGCGUAGAGAUCGGGAGGAACAUCCGUGGCGAAGGCGGCCAUCUGGAUCAACACUGACGUUGAGGCACGAAAGCGUGGGGAGCAAACAGG